CAAUAGCGUAUACUAAAGUUGUUGCAGUUAAAAAGCUCGUAGUUGAAUUUCUGGAUGUGAAAGGUGGUCGGCACCUCACGGUGUCUACACCUACCAUUCGCGUCCAUCCUCGGGAGGAACAUGUGGACACUUUAGUGGGUCUGCAUGGGAAUCUCGUCAUUUACUGUGAGCAAAAUAGAGUGUUCAAAGCAGGCUUACGCCGUUGAAUAUAUUAGCAUGGAAUAAUAAGAUACGACUUUGGUCUAUUUUGUUGGUUUGCAUUCCAAAGUAAUGAUUAAUAGGGAUAGUUGGGGGUAUUCGUAUUCAAUUGUCAGAGGUGAAAUUCUUGGAUUUAUGGAAGACGAACUACUGCGAAAGCAUUUACCAAGGAUGUUUUCAUUAA
rnacentral:rRNA from 1 species